rnacentral:rRNA from 1 species
CCUACGGGAGACAGCAGUGAGGAAUAUUGGUCAAUGGGCGGAAGCCUGAACCAGCCAAGUAGCGUGCGGGAUGAAGGCCCUACGGGUCGUAAACCGCUUUUGCACGGGGAUAACACCCUCCCCUUGUGGAGGUCUGCAGGUACCGUGCGAAUAAGGGCUGGCUAAUUCCGUGCCAGCAGCCGCGGUAAUACGGAAGGCCCGAGCGUUAUCCGGAUUCAUUGGGCUUAAAGGGCUCGUAGGCGGACGUUCAAGUCAGCGGUAAAAUCGCGCGGCUCAACCGCGCCCCGCAGUUGAAACUGGGAGCCUUGAGUUCACAACAGGCAGGCGGAAUUCGUGGUGUAGCGGUGAAAUGCAUAGAUAUCACGAGGAACCCCGAUUGCGAAGGCAGCCUGCCGGGGUGCGACUGACGCUGAGGCUCGAAGGUGCGGGUAUCAAACAGGAUUAGAUACCCUAGUAGUC